UCGUAGCGUAGCAUGAUUUUU
ensembl:piRNA 21ur-8161 ncRNA